UGGGGAAUUUUGGACAAUGGGCGAAAGCCUGAUCCAGCAAUGCCGCGUGUGUGAAGAAGGCCUUCGGGUUGUAAACACUUUUGUCCGGAAAGAAAUCCUUGGCUCUAAUACAGUCGGGGGAUGACGGUACCGGAAGAAUAAGCACCGGCUAACUACGUGCCAGCAGCCGCGGUAAUACGUAGGGUGCAAGCGUUAAUCGGAAUUACUGGGCGUAAAGCGUGCGCAGGGCGGUUUGCUAAGACCGAUGUGAAAUCCCCGGGCUCAACCUGGGAACUGCAUUGGUGACUGGCAGGCUAGAGUAUGGCAGAGGGGGGUAGAAUUCCACGUGUAGCAGUGAAAUGCGUAGAGAUGUGGAGGAAUACCGAUGGCGAAGGCAGCCCCCUGGGCCAAUACUGACGCUCAUGCACGAAAGCGUGGGGAGCAAAACAGGAUUAGAUACCCUGGUAGUCCACGCCCUAAACGAUGUCAACUAGUUGUUGGGGAUUCAUUUCCUUAGUAACGUAGCUAACGCGUGAAGUUGGCCGCCUGGGGAGUACGGUCGCAAGAUUAAAAACUUAAAGGAAUUGACGGGGUCAUAGCUGUUUCCU
rnacentral:rRNA from 1 species